GCAUACACUAGUAAUAGCCAUUUUUUUGGUAAUUUCAUUUCUGAAAAAAAAAAGUGGAUUUUUAUUAUUUUCUUUCAGUAACUUCAUCAUUAAAGAGUUAAAUAUUAUUUUUUAUGAAAAUUGUUCUGUUUACUUUUUACUUUUGUAUCAUAAUAUACUCAUUAUCACAAAUUAUUAUACAACUUCAUAGAGCAUUAUUUUAAGAGGCAUAUAACAUUUCUUCUUACAGAGCACAAAAGUAUGUUAGUCAUUGUUUACUACUUGAAUAGUAUAUUGCAUUCUAUUUGUGAAGCUACUAAACAUCAUUGUUUAAAACAAUUUUUUCCACAUUCAUUAUAAUUUGAAUAGCAACAUCACAUUCCAUUAGUUAUAUUCAACAGUGCCUGAGACUCAUUAGAUAUUAACAUUGAUCCUCUAUGUUCUUUUCCGUGUGAGACUCAGUAACUCUCUGAUAUAUUAUUCUGGAUGACCAAGGUAUGCUUUGACCUUUGACCCAGACUGAAACUUUGGAGCCCAGGAUGGUAAAUGGGGUUCUAAAGAUGUUAAACAGUUGGAAUAAGGAAGUCAGUUUCCCAGAUAAGGAGCCAGUUCUGCCUUUAUUUAUUAUGGACUAUACCUCUAAGGUAACAAUGCAUUCAAAAUGUAUGGAAAAUAUAUUAGAAAAUUAUGUUGGUUUAUUUUGUAAUAAUGCCUCUCUGAAUAAAACAUGGAAACUAUUUUUCACUUGCCUAUUAGAAAACACUCU
rnacentral:lncRNA from 1 species